UCCUCACACAGGGAUGACUUAUGCUUGGC
rnacentral:piRNA from 1 species